UCAUUGGUUCUAUCUUUUUCCCCCUGUAGUUGUUCACAUACUGCUUUGCUCUCCUUUUUUUUGGUUUUUCUUUGAUCCCUUCUCCUCAAACCUCUGCCUCAUGGGUCGUCAGCUGACAGACAGCAAGAGCAGGGUGCCACCUCCCCUCUUAUCCACCCCUGCUCUCACUUUUUGCCAUUUGGGAUAAGCACCAUUUUGCAGCCAGGAAAUCAUUUGGGAACCCCAGGUAAGUGAACCGAAGCCACACAGAUGUUAAUCUCCCCUUGGCACCCAUCAGACAUGCACCACACUCCUCCACUUCCUUCUAGAUCUCUUCUCUUUUUUUACUCUCUCUGCCCUAAGUCUCUGAAAUCUCAUUGAAGACAGCAAAGCGGGAGUUGAAGUCUCUUGAUUAGUUUUUUUUUUUUUUUUAAUAGGAGAUACUGUAUAUGGGGAAAGAAGUGCAACCUACUAUGGCCAUGCAGGCAGGUUGCAGGGAGCUGGUCCAUAUCUCCAGUGGUCACUGUGCAAGAGGCAGGAAACUCUCUGGACGGUUUGACCAAGCUUUGUCACUUUUUAACCACAAUGCUCACAAGGAAGUUUCACCACGUUUACCACCUGCACUGCCACCAAAGGACUGAACUCACUGUGCCACUCAUCUGUAUUGGACUCCAGGUCACUCUGCUGAAGAUCAGACACUCUGUUGGAUUUCCCCUGGUCGUGCCGGACUGAGAUCACCAAAACCUGUAAGAAGAAAAACUAACCAAUCAUUCAUUACUUAUCCUAAGUGAAGACUUUCUGGAACUGUUACUUACCUCUCGUUCUGCUUUCCCCUCAGCCCUGGGUCCAAACGAUACAGCACCUGUAAAAAAAAACACUUUCUCUUUGAAAAACUGUCUCUGUGUGAGCUUACUCGGUUCCGCUUAUCAGAAUUGCUGUCAUAUUCCAGUCUUGUGAUUAUUCCGAAACAAGAUGCAGAAGACAAGGCCAUAUGGUGGAUGUCUUUUUGCCAGUCUGAUGGGAAGAAGUCACAGCAAAAGCACAUAGGUUGUUUCAUGACAUCAUCUUGUGCACCACUAUAGUCAGUAAUUAUAUUCACACAAAGUAAGUCAAUGAUUGCUUGCAGACUGUUUGAUCCACCACCGUGCUUUCAGCAAUCAGUCUAUUUGACUGUGAAGCAGGUGUUGUUAAUGUUUAUGGAAAUACAGCCACUGCUUUUUCAUGCUGACAAUAAAGUCUACCUUCCCACACGACAUGUGUUGUGUCUCCAGUUGAGGUAAACAGGCACUAAUAUUGGAUCUUGUUUCUACAUCGUAGGCUCAUCUGUGGGUGCAAGCAGGGAGGAGAUGUUAGCUGAUACUUACACCUCUGGCUCAACACGGUGGGCGGGAGCACUGAAGCUGGUUGACUUUUAUUAGGAUGGUGCAGUGUGUGUUUUCGGUGUGUGUUAUUGCAUGUGCACACAGACUCAGCAGGCCUUUUUUUAAAGUUUAUUUACAUGACAAGUUUUUUGGUUUUGUUUUGUAUUUUUUACAUAGGUUUGUAGAGCACUUGUAAAGAAAAACACCACUGACUCUUGUUUUCAAUUAAGACAUCCACGGACUCUGUGUUACAUGGCCGAUAAAAUGGAUUUUUUUGGUUUUCGGUUUGGUGAUCAUUUUGCUGAACAUGGGAGGGAAAGAGUGGGAAGAUGGUGAAAAACAGGGUGUACCCCUUUGUGAAUACACUUCAACUGGAUUUGGCUGUAAGAAGUGAAAUAGAUCAAAUAUUGAGUAAGCGAAGGAAGGGCAUCACCACAUCAAAGGCAUGGAUUGGGAGGCACAGGGAGAGAUUAAAGACAGCCUUGAAGAACUAUGUGAAGGAGACCAUACUGUGGCUGUUCUAGCCAAACUGAAUGGGCCUGUCAAUAUCUGACCUACUGCACCACUCUUCCAAGUCACGACCAUCGGAGCACAUUGCUCCUUUUCCCCACUUUGGCUGGCAAGCCUUGAGAAUGCAGACGGUGACCUUGAAAAGGAAAAUACAAGGAAGCAACACACUUAUAAGUGGAACCUAUUUAAUUAUUGAUAGGAUGAGGGCUUUCCCAAUUUCUUUUAUGUUUUUGUUUAAUCUUAUUCACAUUUGUACAAAAACUACUGGAUCUCAUCUUGCAUCUAUAAGUAUUUCUAGAAAUCUUUGCAUUUUGUUUUGGAUAGUAGAGUCCGGAUCGAAUGGACACAAUAGCACAUAAACAAAGUUGAGUGGUAAUCCAAACCCCUGCUGCUUCUGGCCCAAUCAGCCUGCCCUAUUCUGGCCCAGGUUGUAUGCCGGCAUGCCUUCCUGAGCUUGGCUAGGUUUGAAAAGUCAUGCUUGUGGGUGGAUGCUACUCAUAAAUAUGUAUUUGGCUUAAGUCGAGUAGUCCCACUGCUCUAGACUCUGCUCUGCUUGCCCAAACCUUAUGCUCUUCUCAGUUUUCAGUCAUCCACAAGUUACAGAUGCAACUUACCAAGGCAUUUUAUUAGAAAACAAAAAAAAAAGUAAUUGACCAAAAAAUGUUUAAUGCUAAAAGUAUACAAGUAUAUCAUAUCCAUUUUA